UACAGAGGCCUCUAGCGUUAGGCGGAAUCACUGGGCUUAAAGCGUGUGUAGGCGGACGCCUAAGUGUCUUGUGAAAUCCCACGGCUCACCCGUCGGAACUGCUGGGCAUACUGGGCGUCUUGGGCCAUUCAGGGGCAACUGGAACAAGCGGUGGAGCGGUGAAAUGCGUAGAUAUCGCUUGGAACGCCGACGGUGAAAACAGGUUGCUGGGGAUGAUGCCGACGCUGAGACACGAAGCCAGGGGAGCAAACGGG
rnacentral:rRNA from 1 species